GUGUUUACAAAGGUAGAUUUAUUCAACCUAAAGGCCUGGACUGUACUCUGAGAUUGUGUCUUUCUUGGGGUUUAUUUGCAUUGAAAUUACAUUUACUUUAUGAAAUGAUAGUGAUGUUAGCAGAUUUUUAAAAAUGUUUUUACUUAACAAAAUUAAAGUACAACUACCCAGUUUGGGAGAUCUUACCAGUCUGUAAAGCCCCAAACCCUUUUGAGUCAGUGAACCAGAAAGCCUUGGCAAACCACAAAGAGCUACGACCAGAGGCCACCUCUUGCUGUCUUCCUUUGCUGCCCCUCUGCUAGCUAAAGCCUGUGUGGUAGGGGUGGGUUCCAAGGGUCAAGGCCCAGACAUGCUUUUCAUCUUGACUUUAAAAGCACAGAUUCUGGAACCAGACUGUUAGGGUUUAAAUAUCAGUUACACUCCUUUCUAGUUGCGUAUGACCUUGGACAAGUUGCUUCUGCUCUCCAUACUUUGAUGCUCUCAUUUAUAACAUGUGAUAAGUCACCUAAAUCACCUUUAAUAAGAGCCCAGUAAGUUGAGAUGUCACAAAAACAGAGCCAGAAAAAGAAUCUAUACCAUCUGCUACAGCCAGGACCAGCUACCUAAUUUACAAGUCUCAGCACAAAAUGAAAAUGUGGGGCCUCAGCCAGAUGUGGUGGCUCAUGCCUGUUAUCCCAGCACUUUAGGAGACCAAGGUGGGAAGAUUGCUCGGGCCCAAGAGGUUGAGGCUGCAGUGAGCCGUGAUUGCGCCACUGUACUCCAGCCUGGGCAAUAAAGCAAGACCAUCUCUGUCUUCUAGGCUCUUCUGAGAACCAGUGUCCUUUGAGAUCUCAGAUGGGAUUUAGAGGAGGGUUUCCACCCAGACCACUUUCCACAAAUUUCACUUCUGCAUUUCAUCUGGUAGGGUGUGGUUUUCAACUAGAAGCCCAAAUGAGG
rnacentral:lncRNA from 1 species